CCCUUAGAUGUUCUGGGCCGCACGCGCGCUACACUGGCAGGUUCAUCGAGCUUCAUGCCCUGAUCUGAGAAGAACGGGAAAUCUUUGAACACCUGCCGUGCUUGGGAUAGAUGUUUGCAAUUAUUCAUCUUCAACGAGGAUUGCCUUGUAAGCGCACGUCAUCAGCGUGCAUUGAAUACGACCCUGUAUUCUGUACACACCGCCCGUCGCUCCUACCGAUUGAAGUUUUCGGUGAAUUUACUGGAGAUCCCUUUUGAAGGUGGUUCGCCACUGGAAGAAGUAUUCAAAAGUAAAUGAAUCGAAUGCUUUAGAGGAAGGAGAAGUCGUAACA
rnacentral:rRNA from 1 species